AUACUUACCUGGCACAGGCUUUGGCUAUGAUCCGUAAGGCUGGCCCCGGGCGGUGACCUUCCAUUUGCACAUCGGUUUGGUUGACUUCGCGGGGAUCGUCCCAAAAUGUGGACGACUCCGGGUGCGUAAUUUAUAAGUGGGGACUGCGGCUCUGCCUCCCCUU